rnacentral:rRNA from 1 species
CAGGACGAACGCUGGCGGCGUGCUUCAUACAUGCAAGUCGAACGAUAAGGUCUCUUCGGAGAUACAUAAGUGGCGGACGGGUGAGUAAAAUGUAGAGAAUCUGCCCUAGAGAUGGGGACAACAGUUGGAAACGACUGCUAAUACCCAAUAUGAGCGUAGUUGAAAUACUAUUCUUGAAAACUCCGGUGCUCUGGGAUGAGUCUGCAUCUGAUUAGCUAGUUGGAGGUGUAAUGGACCACCAAGGCGACGAUCAGUAGCUGGUUUGAGAGGAUGAUCAGCCACAAUGGGACUGAGACACGGCCCAUACUCCUACGGGAGGCAGCAGUAGGGAAUUUUGCGCAAUGGGGGAAACCCUGACGCAAGCAACGCCGCGUGAAUGAAGAAGCCCUUCGGGGUGUAAAGCUCUGUCAGUAGGGAAGAAUAAAUGACUGUACCUACAGAGGAAGCAUCGGCUAACUCCGUGCCAGCCGCCGC